AUGGGGUGCGUGUUCUCGAGGCGGGAAAAGCGGGAGGGGUCGGCGCGGCCGCAGGGGAGGUCCGUCCAGCCGCAGCCGUACCACCACCAGCAGAACCAGCAGCAGCAGGCGCAGGCGCUCGGCGCGGUCUUCGACGCGCGCCGGGGCCGCUACGGCCCCACCGACUUCGACUCCGGGGAGAUCGCCAUCCCGCCGCCGCACAAGCCCCACAAGGUAUCAGAACCAGGCACAUUUAUAGGAAGAGCCAGCAUUGCUGGCCUGGAGAAGGCCGUUGAGGUGUUAGAUACCCUUGGCAGCGGCAUCGCAAGUUUGAAUCACGGCAGUGGGUUUCUCUACGGGGGAACAACCCGAGGAAAUAAAGUCGAGAUUCUGGCAUUCGAAGUCGCAAAUACAAUAGCUAAAGCUUCCAAUUUGUGGAGGUCAUGCUCUGACGAUAAUAUAAAAGAACUCAAGGAAGAAAUCUUGCAUUCAGAUGGUGUGCGGAUAUUAAUCUCCUCAGAUCCCAGCGAGCUCCUGCAUAUUGCUGCUAUCGACAAAAGGGAAGAACUCGCCAUCCUUUCAAGAGAAGUAAUUCGAUUUGGUGACCUGUGUAAAGACCCCAUAUGGCAUAACUUGGGACGCUAUUUUGAGAAGUCAACAAAGGAUUCCAUGCCCCAGGAUCAUUCAAAAGAGCAUAUUGGAACUACCGUCCAGCAUUUGAUUAGCUUGGCUCAAAACACUUCUGAGCUUUACCAUGAAUUGCACGCGCUGGAUAGAUUUGAGCAGGAUUUUCAAAGGAAAUUUCAUGAAGAGGAGUCUGUACCGGCAGCUAGAAGAGAGAGUGUUAUGAUUUUGCACAGUGAACUAAAGCGCCAAAGGAAGCUUGUGAAAACUUUGAAGAAGAAAUCCUUGUGGUCCAGACCUUUGGAGGAUGUCGUGGAAAAGCUUGUUGAUAUCGUCAUUUUUCUGGAUAAACAAAUCCGGGAUGCAUUCGGUGAAGCUGUUACUGUAGGUACUGACUUCAUGGAGCAAGGUCAGAACAAAAGGCUAAGUGCAUGUGGUCUGGCACUACAUUAUGCUAACAUCAUCAAUCAAAUUGAAAACAUAGUUUCUCGGCCGCUCUCUCUUCCUCCUAGCGCUAGGGACAACUUGUACCAUGGACUGCCAGAAACAGUGAAGUCAGCUCUGCGGCCACGGUUGCAAUCAGUCAAAACUGAAGAUGAGGAGCGUUCUGUAUCUCAAAUCAAAGCCGAAAUGCAGAAAACCCUUCGCUGGCUGCUGCCAAUAGCAGAAAAUACAACAAGAGCACAUCAAGGGUUCGGGUGGGUCGGCGAGUGGGCAAACUUCGGGAGUGACAUGGACGAGAAAUCGGGUUCCCGGCACAGCGUGACCCGGGUGCAGACGCUGCACCACGCCGACAAGGCCAAGACGGAGGAGCACAUGCUGGAGCUGGUGGUGCUGCUCCACCACCUGGUGCUCCAGGUGAAGAGCCGAGGCUACGGGCACAACAAGUCGUCAAGGCGGGAACGGUCUCGGUCCCGCAAGGGAGGACCGUCGUUGUCAGAACCGCCGCCUCAUGAAGCAGACGCCACUAGGCACAACACGUCGCCGAUGAACAACAGCCAUGGCAGCACGUGCCCUAGCCCGCUGUCGGACUCUGACCGCGAGACGCUGGACCACCUGAGCUUCAAGUGGACGAGGAGCUACGGCCGGAGCAAGAGCUCCGAGCCUCGGCCCGGCAAGGGGAACAAGGCGCACCGGAGCUGGGACUUGUGCCGGAGCCAUGGCAGCUCGCCGGCGAGGGAGUUCGGGCGGGGCUCGACCUCCGGGCGUGAGAUGGUGAGGGACCUGGAUGUGAUAGAUGGGCUGGGUAGAACGACUCUUUCGUUUAGUUAG
rnacentral:rRNA from 1 species